GCUCUGUGGUUCUGUAAGCAAUGGAUCAGGAAGCUGAGCAUUUGAAGCUACUCAGCCUUCCUCAGAGAAGCCUCUUCAAUGAACAAUGGUAAGGCCGAGACUCACGCCUUCACAAGGUACUGAGAUUACAUGACAGAUGAGUACUGAUCCCUGAACAAGACAUCUAUACCUGUCCAGCAAAGGCAUACAUGGGUACAGAGAAGAAUUAAAUCCAGAUUUGGGGAGAUGGUCCAACAUCAGACACCUUUUUAAUGGCCAUAAUGAAGCCAAAGGAGAUGAAUAUUUCCACUAACAUUCAAGAAUGGUCAUCUUGGGAAGAGGUGAAACCAAGGGCAGGAAAUGGAAACUGCCCUUGCAUCAAAACAAGAAAGACUCCUCCUUCCCCUGAGUUCGCAGGCCAGGAGGACUUGGCCUUGGAAGUAAAGAAAGAUUCAGGGUAUUUCUGAGAUGAAAGCCAGCUGUCCUUGACAUGUGAGGACACUGUGCUCUCUCUCUGUUGGCUACAGUGUCACCAACAACUUGCAGAACAGCCCUCCCCAAAUAUGCAUCCUAUUGAUUUCUUUGAAUGGUGACUGGGGAACAGCUGGGACAGGAGGAUGACCCUGCUCUCUCAGCCUAAAGUGGGGUCUAGAUUUCCCAGAAGAAAGGUUUCCUCCCUCCAGCACACAGAGAGCAUUCUCCUCAGUGUAGACAGAGUCAGAUCAACAGAUACCACUAACCUUCCAGUCGAUUUACCCACAGAUUCCUGACUACUUUUCCACAGUCCAGCAUUCCUAUCUCAAACAGCUUUUUUCUUUUCCACACAUGUCCAUAAUUUAUUGAUCUUCAUUAAAAUGGAAUAAUACACACUCCUCCACCCCUGUGUCUAAUUGUUUCUUUAUAUGGAUCACCAUGUACUAUGUAAAAAAAACCGGAACAUCAAUUAGAUCUCUAUGCUUUAUGGUCUGCUCAUCUGUCUUCCAUCAGUUCAGCUCCUAAACUAUACCUAUAGAAGUCAAAAGGUGGAGGGUAAAAGUCUUUCCUCCCUACAAAAUCAAGCUGUACAUGAGUGAAGCCAGGUCACCUCCCCGGAAAUGACUGGUUUUGAAGAGACCGGUAUUCAGCACAAGAUACCCCCAAACCAAGUUCUUACCACAAA
rnacentral:sRNA from 1 species